GAACGAAGCUUUCUUUCACCGAAUGCUUGCAUUCACCGAAAGAAGCUUAGUGGCGAACGGGUGAGUAACACGUAGGCAACCUGCCCAAAAGAGGGGGAUAACACUUGGAAACAGGUGCUAAUACCGCAUAACCAUGAACACCGCAUGAUGUUCAUGUAAAAGACGGCUUUUGCUGUCACUUUUGGAUGGGCCUGCGGCGUAUUAACUUGUUGGUGGGGUAACGGCCUACCAAGGUGAUGAUACGUAGCCGAACUGAGAGGUUGAUCGGCCACAUUGGGACUGAGACACGGCCCAAACUCCUACGGGAGGCAGCAGUAGGGAAUCUUCCACAAUGGACGAAAGUCUGAUGGAGCAACGCCGCGUGAAUGAAGAAGGCCUUCGGGUCGUAAAAUUCUGUUGUCAGAGAAGAACGUGCGUGAGAGUAACUGUUCACGUAUUGACGGUAUCUGACCAGAAAGCCACGGCUAACUACGUGCCAGCAGCCGCGGUAAUACGUAGGUGGCAAGCGUUGUCCGGAUUUAUUGGGCGUAAAGGGAACGCAGCGGUCUUUUAAGUCUGAUGUGAAAGCCUUCGGCUUAACCGAAGUAGUGCAUUGGAAACUGGAAGACUUGAGUGCAGAAGAGGAGAGUGGAACUCCAUGUGUAGCGGUGAAAUGCGUAGAUAUAUGGAAGAACACCAGUGGCGAAAGCGGCUCUCUGGUCUGUAACUGACGCUGAGUUCGAAAGCGUGGGUAGCAAACAGGAUUAGAUACCCUGGUAGUCCACGCCGUAAACGAUGA
rnacentral:rRNA from 1 species